CCUACGGGAGGCAGCAGUGGGGAAUUUUGGACAAUGGGCGCAAGCCUGAUCCAGCAAUGCCGCGUGAGUGAAGAAGGCCUUCGGGUUGUAAAGCUCUUUUGUCAGGGAAGAAACGGUGGGGGCUAAUAUCCCUCGCUAAUGACGGUACCUGAAGAAUAAGCACCGGCUAACUACGUGCCAGCAGCCGCGGUAAUACGUAGGGUGCAAGCGUUAAUCGGAAUUACUGGGCGUAAAGCGUGCGCAGGCGGUUUUGUAAGUCUGUCGUGAAAGCCCCGGGCUCAACCUGGGAAUUGCGAUGGAGACUGCAAGGCUUGAAUCUGGCAGAGGGGGGUAGAAUUCCACGUGUAGCAGUGAAAUGCGUAGAGAUGUGGAGGAACACCGAUGGCGAAGGCAGCCCCCUGGGUCAAGAUUGACGCUCAUGCACGAAAGCGUGGGGAGCAAACAGGAUUAGAUACCCUGGUAGUCCACGCCCUAAACGAUGUCUACUAGUUGUUACGGUUUUAAUUAACGUUAGGUAACGCAGCUAACGCGUGAAGUAGACCGCCGUGGGGAGUACGGUCGCAAGUAUUAAAACCGACGAAAGGAAGUUAGGUACGGACGUGAGACGUGCCGACGGACGACGACGACGGGAGGAGG
rnacentral:rRNA from 1 species